rnacentral:rRNA from 1 species
ACAGGUGCUGCAUGGCUGUCGUCAGCUCGUGUCGUGAGAUUGUUGGGUUAAGUCCCGCAACGAGCGCAACCCUUGUCUUUAAUUGCCAUCAUUCAGUUGGGCACUUUAAGAGACUGCCGGUGUUAAACCGGAGGAAGGUGGGAUGACGUCAAGUCCUCAUGGCCUUUAUGCCCAGGGCUACACACGUGCUACAAUGGGUGGUACGAAGAGAUGCAAUCUCGCAAGAGCAAGCAAACCUCAAAAAGCCAUCCUCAGUUCGGAUUGGAGUCUGCAACUCGACUCCAUGAAGUCGGAAUCGCUAGUAAUCGCGGAUCAGCACGCCGCGGUGAAUACGUUCCCGGGCCUU